GAUGAAGAACGCAGCGAAAUGCGAUAAGUAAUGUGAAUUGCAGAAUUCCGUGAAUCAUCGAAUCUUUGAACGCACAUUGCGCCCGCCAGUAUUCUGGCGGGCAUGCCUGUUCGAGCGUCAUUUCAACCCUCAAGCCCAGCUUGGUGUUGGGGAUCGGCACAGGCGCCCUCGGGCGCCCGCCGUCCCCUAAAUCUAGUGGCGGUCCCGCUGCAGCCUCCUCUGCGUAGUAGUUUUCUCCUCGCAAGGGCAGCUCGGUGGCGACCUCGCCGUAAAACCCCCAACUUCUGAAAGGUUGACCUCGAAUCAGGUAGGAAUACCCGCUGAACUUAAGCAUAUCAAUAAGCGGAGGA
rnacentral:misc_RNA from 1 species